rnacentral:rRNA from 1 species
AACGAACGCUGGCGGCGUGCCUAACACAUGCAAGUCGUACGAGAAAGCUCCCUUCGGGGAGUGAGUAGAGUGGCGCACGGGUGAGUAACGCGUGGGCAAUCUGCCCUCGAGCUCGGAAUAACCCCUCGAAAGGGGGGCUAAUACCGGAUAACACUUCGAUUUCUUCGGGAGUUGAAGUCAAAGGUGGCCUCUGAUUUAAGCUACCACUUGAGGAGGAGCCCGCGUCCCAUUAGCUUGUUGGUGGGGUAAUGGCCUACCAAGGCGACGAUGGGUAGCCGGCCUGAGAGGGUGACCGGCCACACUGGAACUGAGACACGGUCCAGACUCCUACGGGAGGCAGCAGUGGGGAAUUUUGCGCAAUGGGCGAAAGCCUGACGCAGUGACGCCGCGUGGACGAUGAAGGCCUUCGGGUCGUAAAGUCCUGUCAAGUGGGAAGAAGUGCGUGGUACUUAAUACGUGCCAUGUUUGACGGUACCACUAGAGGAAGCCCCGGCCAACUCCGUG